rnacentral:tRNA from 1 species
GAGGGUAUAGCUCAGUGGUAGAGCACCUGUUUAGCAUGCACAAGGUCCUGGGUUCAAUCCCCAGUAACACCU